ensembl:lncRNA
GUCUGGUUUCGUCUCCGGGAGGAAAUGCCCCCUGUCCAGCGCUGAGCAAGCAUCUUUUAAUUUCAUGGCUGCAGUCACCGUCCACAGUGAUUUUGGAGCCCAAGAAAAUGAAUUCUCUGGAACUGAUCCUUCAUCUGUUGCCUUGGAGAGGAGGAAACUGGCAUGAAAUCAGCAGGCAGUGGAUGGCCCUUCACUUAGGCAAACCCCUCGCUGAUCUAACCCUCCAUGAGACUGUCCAGUGUCAGGAAACCAAAGGCACAGACAUUCGAGGAGUGAAAAAUGCCAAUACUGGGACUUCCCUGGUGGUCCAGUGGGGAAGAAUCCACCUUCCAAUGCAGGGAACAUGGGCUCGAUCACUGGUCCAGGAGCUAAGAUUCCUACAUGCUGAGGGGCAGCUGAGCCUCCAUACUGCAACUACGGAGUCCAUGGUCUGGAAUCCAUGCGCCACAAUUAGAGGGAAGUUCAUGUGCUGCAACGAAGAGACUGCAUGCAGCAACUAAGACCCGACACAGCCAAAAAUAAAAGGAAUGCAAGCUGAAAAAAAAACAACCCAAGACAAAAAGAAAAAUGCCAGUACUGACAGACCCAGACCAUCGCCCCCUCCCUUGGGGAGGUUUAACCACCUUAUCCGCUCUCCUCAUAAAACCUGCUGCCCUUGGCUUUCUCCUGUUUCUUUUCCUGUCUCCUCUACAUGUUUCUCCUUUGUCCUCUUUGCAGAUUCUCAUCUGGGAGCCCAUGGGGGCCACCAAGCCUCAGCCCACGAAUCCUACUUCAUCCUUCUCUUUGGAGGCCAGAAUCCAUCUAGUCCUUCCCUGCCUCAAGGCUUUCUCACUGCCUCCCCUAACUGUGCCCUCCAUGGGGUCAGGGACCGCAUGGCCUUUGGACCACCCCCCUCUCCACCGCAAACCAUUAACCUGGCCCAGUGUCUGGAGCAGAGAUGUCAAAUGCUGCAGGUGGGGAAAUAAGUAAAAGUGCCAGCUUCCCCUCCCCCACCUCUUGGUUGUGAC